rnacentral:lncRNA from 1 species
AAUAGUGUCUAAAUAUGAUUAAGUGUCUUCCCAGAGAAAAGUCAAAGAGGCUCCUAGUGUUAAUUUCCAUAUUGCUUAAGACUUAAGCUUUUAAUUUAUUUUAUCAAGGUUGAGGGAGUAUGGUAAUUGUUGGAACAACGCCCUUCCAAAAGAAAUAGCCUGCACUUGUUUUUAAGUUAAAUUUGUUUUCUCACACAGAUUUUUGAUACACUCUUAAAUAAACUAGAAAUCACAAUUAUUUUAAUGUGGCAGAGUUGUAACCAGGAAAUUGCAUAUAUUUUCAUAAACUAGGCUGUUAUAGAUUUUUAUAACAUUAUAAGAAAUGUUAUUUCUUAUAACAUUAUUUUAAGAAAUUUUUUUAACGUCUUUCAACCCUGAAAGGGCCUGCUUGAAACAUACACGGCAGCAAAAUCACUGGAGUCCAGGGUUUUUGUCACACACACACACAGCACAGAUUUUUUUGAUUAUGUAGAUUUCUUUUCCUACUGCAGUUUCAUAUGCAAAGCAUGCAUCAGCCACAUCCAUGCUAUCUCCUAAAGCAGUCAUUCUGAAACCCAAUCUGGGGACAGUGCAGACUAAAUAAAAUUUCAUUUUGAUUUGGCCUCCCGCUGCGAAUGGGACUGCUUUGUCUCAGCCGACAGAACCAGCAAGCCAGAAAGUGGUUCUACCAGGUGGAGGAGGACUUGAGUUGGCCUAUGUUCACCAUCCUAAGGUUCAGCACACUGAGGUUCUCCACUACCCAGUGGCAGCUCCUUACCUCAACAAGGGAAGUUUAUUCCCCCAGCCGUGACCCCGGCACCUCUCCACACCGUGUAUCCUGUCUGGGAAUGAAGACAUUUGGAGAAGAAGCGUUUACUGAAAGGAGAUUCCUGGGCUGGAGGAAAACCAUGAUCUACAGUUCAUGUUGA